rnacentral:rRNA from 1 species
CAAUAGCGUAUAUUAAAGUUGUUGCGGUUAAAAAGCUCGUAGUUGGAUUUCUGCCGAGGACGACCGGUCCGCCCUCCGGGUGAGUAUCUGGCUCGGCCUGGGCAUCUUCUUGGAGAACGUAGCUGCACUUGGCUGUGUGGUGCGGUAUUCAGGACUUUUACUUUGAGGAAAUUAGAGUGUUUCAAGCAGGCACACGCCUUGAAUACAUUAGCAUGGAAUAAUAAGAUAGGACCUCGGUUCUAUUUUGUUGGUUUCUAGAUCUGAGGUAAUGAUUAAUAGGGAUAGUUGGGGGCAUUCGUAUUUAACUGUCAGAGGUGAAAUUCUUGGAUUUGUUAAAGACGGGCUACUGCGAAAGCAUUUGCCAAGGAUGUUUUCAUUGA